UGGCAGCAGGUGUGCCCUUCAGGGUUCUACUUACAUCUUGCCACGGCUCUGCCCUCCAAGCGUAGAGAGGACACGGGGACGCCUGGCAGGCGCGCUCUGCCUCGGGUCUGGCGUACGGGCUGCACUCGCUCUCUCUGGCAGUUCUGUGGGGUCCCAUCUGACAGCCCACAUGCCUCUGCUGCACGCCUUGGCCGCAGGUCACAGAGCACUGGGAAGACAGAGGACGAAAGAAGUGAGGAUAGCGCCAGUGGUGUCUGCCACAGGAGUAUUUAUGAAAGCACACUGGAGGACAGAGGAAACCAUGGGUUGUAAGACCUUAGCCUCGGCUGUCCCAAAGGACAACUGCAGCUUGUCCCUGUGAUGACUGAACCGCCACGGUGGGAACAUUAGCUGAAGUUCUGGCUCCUGGCAAGGUCCAUGCCGUGAGGCAGGAACAAGCUGUGUUUCUUGGCUGGUGCUCCUGCACUCACGUCCAGGAACACAGACGUUUGGUCGCCCUGCUGUGCGAAGGCCAGCUCUCCCACGGGACUUGGAAGGGCUCAGCCUGUGUUGAUUGAAAGCAUCCUAGCAAAGGGCGUGUUCUCUCCCGGCAAGCAUCCAAGUGACAGAAGCUUAAUCCUGGGCCUCACAGGACAGUGCUUUUCAAGACCUGCUCUACCCAAACCUCAAAGCCUCACUCCUUCCUUCCCUUUGGCAACGCUAUCCAGCCUGAUGUCACUGUCAAGAGAACGUCAGCAAAAAGUCCUGCUACUGCUGCAUGUGACUACCAGGACAGACAGCUCCGUGAUGGGAUCUUACCUCUCCCCAGCUGCCAUAAGCCCACUGGGGACAAGGGCCGGAUUCACAGGCUCUCUGCUCGUCUGGUUUGAUUCUCUCCACGCAGUCACUGGCAGUGUACCCGUUUUCAUCCUGACACACCACCACGCGCCUCUGGGACCCGCCAGCACAGGUGCUAGAACACUAAGCAAGCAGAUGAGCCAACCAGUCAGUGCUCGGCUCCACGAGUAGAAAGGCCAGAGGAAAAACGGCCGUUGGAACCCAGAACCCACCUCCCCAAGGCGGGGAGGAGCUCAACAACCAACGCCUGAUGGUUUUGAGACCUCCAAUGCAGCUCUAUCUAUUGUCCCUCCAUCCUUGCUGCAUUUCUGGGAGGGGACAGAAGUGUGACUCAGUGGCACAGCUGACUUGGAAAUUCUUUUCAAAAUGUCAAGAGCUUAUUUAGAAGCAAUGUUUGACUUCUCUUUCCACAGAGGUCAAACAGCCAGCUUCGUGAGCGGCUGGUGGUAGAACUUGGGAUUCCGUAGGGGCCCAUUCAGGAGUUUCCUAAUGGCGCCAAGGAAUGUGCUCCAGACAUCAUUUCCUAGCGGGCGGAUGUUCUCAGCCCUUGCUUUACAGGCCCCUGUACUGCAGAGGUGAGCAGUGGCAAAGCACGCUUUAUUUACCUGGCUUGUCCUUCCUCGCUGACUCCCACCCCACAAACCUCUUCAGCCACGUUUCAGUCCCGAGGUUCCCUCUCCGUUUGCACGUCUACUUUCAGUUCCCAUGCUCUUCUCAUAGCUCACUCACACAUCUACAGUUGCAGCAUUUCCUCCUUCCAGAAUUCUCUUAUCUUUUUAACCUGGGGUGCUGACUUUCAUUCUUUUACACUGCCCCUUGCUGUAAAAUGGGUUUGCCUAUAUAAAUUUACCAUUCAGUCCUUAAAGCAAUGUAACUCAAUCCACUUAGCAAGGGAGUGUUUGGGCUUAAGUUGCAGGUUCUGUUCUAUCUGAGAGAGUUUCUUGCUAUGCAGCCCAGGCUGGCUCCAACUCAUUCAGGACAUUGCAAAGACGUGUCACCUUCUUCCUGUGGUUUCUGAUCUGUACUUCCUACCCAGCCCCAGCUCACAUCAAAGUAUUUAAAGAUAGUCUCAGACCUUUGCUUCUGGCUGCUCUGCUCAGCUGCAUCAAGAGGCAAAGGUAUUUUGUUGCUGGUUGCACUGGAUACAGCUCAAUUUCUCAAUUGGAAAACAUGAUUUUUGUCUUUUCUGGUCAAAUUAUAAGUGAGUUAAAAAUUGGCUAUAUUGGGCUGGAGAGAUGGCUUAGCGGUUAAGCGCUUGCCUGUGAAGCCUAAGGACCCCGGUUCGAGGCUCGGUUCCCCAGGUCCCACGUUAGCCAGAUGCACAA